AAUAAAUAUAUGCAUAAUUACACUUUUAAGAAAUAUGCUAAACACAAAUGUACUUCUAGUGAAGUUUUAGUAUAUUUGGAUAAAACAUACUUUUUUCAAAACAUGAUUCAUUAAUUGUAAUAAGCUAACAUUGAACUUUCCUCAAGCAUUUCAACAUUAUAUCAUUCCGAUUGCAUAAUAAACUAUUUUUUCAAAGAUUUGCUUAAAAUCUUACGUUUGAUAGUGUUUAUUUACAAUCAACGAGCCGCUCUAAGAGCUGAUUCUUUGUAGCGAACGAGCAGAGCCGAAUCUUCAGACGCAGGCAGGGGUAGGACCGUAAGAGCCGGCUCUAAUAACGGAGCCGAGCCAAAAGAGCCGAAUCUAUUGAAAGAGCCGGACUGCCAUCACUAAAAUGUAGAGCCGGAGCUUGAGCCGAAAGAGCAGAAUCAAUGGAAAGAGCCGGACUGCCCAUCACUACAAACAACGCACGUGACACACGUGACUAAACCUGAUUGGUUGUUGUCAUAGUAACACGUCACGGUGCUAUUUGAAACUUGUCUUGUUCAGUUCAGUUCACAGUGCAUGCGGUUGCUUGCAUUAAACGUAUAAACUGUUAAAUUAGAUGGCGACUCUGCAUUAAACGUAUUUAUUUAAUUAAUCGGCGAUCAUAUUUCACCAGAGGACUAAGAUAAAACAACUCGAUUUAAAAUGUGAGCAGUUUUAGUGGAUCUGACGUCGAGGGAAAAAGUAUUUCGCUUUUUGUUUGGAGAUGAACGAGACAACAUGAGGCACAGCGACAUAAAUAUGACCAAUCAGAUCCCAAGUAGACAGGAACAAAUGAAGAUAUAGCGCAUAGAAAGAUUCUUGGUGAUCAACUGCUAUUGACAUUUUUGAAUUGGGACAAAUGUGGAGUGAUUCGGAAGAAAAACGUUUGCAACACAUCCAUUCCAGAGUGCUCUGACAGAUAAAACUGACACGCUUGAUGAGGAUACAGUCAAAGCUUUAAAAGACCGUGUGAUAAAGCAGUCUUCAAUUACUACGGUGUCUGAUUUGCAAGAAGAAGUGACCCUCCACUUAAACAUGUUACAUCUAAACUGUUUUGUGUUUUAGUUCAGCUUUUUAUAGGUUUAUCUUAAGUUGGUUAAAGGCGGAGUGCACUAUUUUUGAAAGCCAAUGUUAACAUUUGAAAUGACCUAAACAAACAUGUCUCUACCCCAAUAGAAUCUGGACCUUCUUUUGAUAGAGCCACCACACACAUACGCAACCCCGGCAAGGAUGUCGGUUAGUAGACACACCCCUUACUGCUGGUUGGCUACAAGUGUGUUUUGGUAGUCGGCCCAAUUUCCUUUUCCAAAGCGUUUUUCAAACAUUGUGCACUCCGUCUUUAAAUUGCACUUAAACAUUUUUUUUUUCAGUAACUUUUUAUGCAGAGAAUUACAUUAUGAUUUAUAUAAUCAUUGCUUAUGAAUAUUUAGUGAUUGCAUAUUCAUAGUGUACUUUUCAUUAAUACAUUUAAUGUUAAUGUUGUUCAAUUUGAUAGAAGUAGCUCUGUAAUUGCAUUUCUCUGAUAUUUGUUUUAUAUGUUUCUCUUUGGUCAAGAGAUUAUGUAUGUCUCUGUGCUUGAUUAAUUUACUUUAGAUAUUUUUGUAAUGUACACAACACAAUAUGAAGUAUAUUAAAUUGUUCUGUAUUCAAAAUCUGUGUAUGUGUCUUAAUAUUUAAUGAUUUUAAUAUAACAUUUUAAAUAUUAAAAACAGCUUUAUAAUAAAAUAGUAGUGUAAUGCUAAUACAUUUCUAUUAAUGUAAUGCUAGUAUAUUUCUAAUAUGCUGAAGUACUAUUAAAGUGUUCUUAAAGCACAGUUAAAUUAAGCUUUAAAUGUAUUCUAACUGUAUUUUUAAGUGUAUGAGAAGUGCAUUUCAAAUGAAUUUUAAAGAAGUACACUUAAAUUGCACUAAAUAUAUUUGAAGUUGUUCCAAUUUAACACAAUUUCAAUAUAUUAAAUAUAAUGCAAAUAGAUUAAAAUUGACUUUAAAUAUAUCUUGAAAUGCAUUUAAUAUAUUUGAAGUGGGUUCAAUAUAAUACAUUUAAUAUGCAUUUAGUAUAGUAGCUUUUAAAUAUAUUAAGUAUGUCCCAAAAAAUACUAUUUAAAUAUA